rnacentral:rRNA from 1 species
UACGUAGGGGGCUAGCGUUGUCCGGAAUCACUGGGCGUAAAGCGCGUGUAGGCGGUCCGGUAAGUCCGCUGUGAAAGUCGGGGGCUCAACCCUCGGAUGCCGGUGGAUACUGUCGGGCUUGAGUACGGAAGAGGCGAGUGGAAUUCCUGGUGUAGCGGUGAAAUGCGCAGAUAUCAGGAGGAACACCAAUUGCGAAGGCAGCUCGCUGGGACGUUACUGACGCUGAGGUGCGAAAGCGUGGGGAGCAAACAGG